GAGGUUUCGGGCUGGGGUCGGGCUGGCAGCCCCCCCCCCCCCCGCACCCCCCUUGUGGUGUCGUGAGGCUGUGAGAGGAGCUGAGGGGGGCGCAGGGUGCUUCACCGGAAAACCUUUGGCUGGUUGCAUGCUUCGCAGGACCGGCGUUUGGAGGAUGGGGCUGCACGGGGGCUCGGGUGCGUCCGGAGUCUGGCCGGGGCAAGGCAGCAUCACGUCAGGUGGGGAGAAGACCUUCAGGCUGGAGGCCACCCUUACACGGCCCGUUUUCCCCUAGCCAGGGCACGGCCUUGCACCCUGCAGUGCUGCUGGAUGAAACCGGGGACCCCGAGCGAGGUGGGGGCCCCCUGCCAGCACCAAGAGCCCCUCUGCAUCCCAGAGGCUUGAUCCUUUUCGUGGCUGCCCUCCCUUUUCGAGUGUAUUUUGUGCCUUAAUUCUCCCUGUGAGCGACGCUGCAAGGGCAGACGAGCUGUCAAGCAGCUGGGAGUCCCUUUCCGUGCGUCUGUCCCCAUGGAUAGAAGCAGGCCUGCCCAGGAGCCAGCCCGCAUCCAAAACAAGCUCCGAGUGCUCGUUUGCCGGGGGGGUUCACGGCCCGAGAUUUUAAAGCCGAAUUUAGGUCUCUGGGACCGUUGUGGUUUUUAACGAGCUCUGUAGCGACCUACUAUUUUUGUAACACUUUGUUUCUGUUGUGCAGUGCCUGCUUGUUCUCUUUCCCUUAAAAAAAAAAAAA